rnacentral:rRNA from 1 species
UACGUAGGGGGCGAGCGUUGUCCGGAUUUAUUGGGCGUAAAGAGCUCGUAGGCGGUUCGGUAAGUCGGGUGUGAAAUCUCCACGCUCAACGUGGAGGGGCCACUCGAUACUGCCGUGACUCGAGUCCGGUAGAGGAGUGUGGAAUUCCCGGUGUAGCGGUGAAAUGCGUAGAGAUCGGAAAGAACACCAACGGCGAAAGCACUCUGCUGGGCCGACACUGACACUGAGAGACGAAAGCUAGGGGAGCGAAUGGG